rnacentral:rRNA from 1 species
AGAGAGAGACAUGCGCGCAUAUCAAUAAGCGGAGGAAAAGAAACUAACUAGGAUUCCCUCAGUAACGGCGAGUGAAGCGGGAAGAGCUCAAAUUUGAAAUCUUCAAGGUUCUACCUUGACGAAUUGUAGUUUAAAGAAGUGUUUUUCUGUUGGAGUUUUGGUAAAAGUUCUUUGGAAUAGGACAUCAUAGAGGGUGAGAAUCCCGUAUUUGACCAUUAUUUCCAGCUUUGUGAUACACUUUCAAAGAGUCGGAUUGUUUGGGAAUGCAGUCCAAAAUGGGUGGUAAAUUUCAUCUAAAGCUAAAUAUUGGCGAGAGACCGAUAGCGAACAAGUACCGUGAGGGAAAGAUGAAAAGAACUUUGAAAAGAGAGUUAAACAGUACGUGAAAUUGUCAAAAGGGAAGCGUUUGACACCAGUGUUGUUUUCCUCGAAAAUCAAUUAAAAAAGGCAGGAUUUUGUGUUGUAUUGACUUUAUCAGCUUUCUGCACUCUUUUCUUGUCUUUCUUUAAUGCACUUUUCGUUUAACAAGUCAACAUCAAUUUCUUUUGUUGUAAAAGGGUCAUUGGAAGGUGGCUUUCUUUUCGGAGAAAGUGUUUAUAGCCUUUGGCCUCUGCAAUCGGAGAGAUUGAGGUCUGCAGCGUAGAUCCUUCGGGGUUAGAUACAUUUGUGCUAAGUUAUAGCCUUUCAUAGACAACUUGUUGACUAUGAUUCAGUCAUGUAGCUUACUCGCUUAUGCUAUUUUACCUACGCUUAGGAUGUUGAUGUGAUACUGCGAGCA